rnacentral:tRNA from 1 species
GCGUGGCUGGCUGAGUCAGUGGAGCCUGAGACUCUUGAUCUCAGGAUGUGGGUUCCAGCCCCACACUGGGUA